GACAGAGGGUGCAAACGUUGCUCGGAAUUACUGGGCGUAAAGGGCGUGUAGGCGGGAAGGCAAGUCGGGCGUGAAAGCCCCAGGCUCAACCUGGGAACUGCACUCGAAACUGCCUUUCUUGAGUGCCGGAGAGGAAAGGCGGAAUUCCUGGUGUAGAGGUGAAAUUCGUAGAUAUCAGGAGGAACACCAGUGGCGAAGGCGGCUUUCGUGGACGGUAACUGACGCUGGAGACGCGAAAGCGUGGGGAGCAAACAGG
rnacentral:rRNA from 1 species